rnacentral:rRNA from 1 species
UACGGAGGGUGCAAGCGUUAAUCGGAAUUACUGGGCGUAAAGCGCACGCAGGCGGUCUGUUAAGUCAGCUGUGAAAUCCCCGGGCUUAACCUGGGAACUGCAUUUGAAACUGGCAGGCUUGAGUCUUGUAGAGGGGGGUAGAAUUCCAGGUGUAGCGGUGAAAUGCGUAGAGAUCUGGAGGAAUACCGGUGGCGAAGGCGGCCCCCUGGACAAAGACUGACGCUCAGGUGCGAAAGCGUGGGGAGCAAACAGG